rnacentral:rRNA from 1 species
AUGAACGCUGGCGGCGUGCCUAAUACAUGCAAGUCGAGCGAACAGACGAGGAGCUUGCUCCUCUGACGUUAGCGGCGGACGGGUGAGUAACACGUGGAUAACCUACCUAUAAGACUGGGAUAACUUCGGGAAACCGGAGCUAAUACCGGAUAAUAUAUUGAACCGCAUGGUUCAAUAGUGAAAGACGGUUUUGCUGUCACUUAUAGAUGGAUCCGCGCCGCAUUAGCUAGUUGGUAAGGUAACGGCUUACCAAGGCAACGAUGCGUAGCCGACCUGAGAGGGUGAUCGGCCACACUGGAACUAAGACACGGUCCAGACUCCUACGGGAGGCAGCAGUAGGGAAUCUUCCGCAAUGGGCGAAAGCCUGACGGGGCAACGCCGCGUGAGUGAUGAAGGUCUUCGGAUCGUAAAACUCUGUUAUUAGGGAAGAACAAAUGUGUAAGUAACUAUGCACGUCUUGACGGUACCUAAUCAGAAAGCCACGGCUAACUACGUG